CAACGGGUGAGUAACACGUGGGCAACCUGCCCAAAANAGGGGGAUAACACUUGGAAACAGGUGCUAAUACCGCAUAACCAUAGUUACCGCAUGGUAACUAUGUAAAAGGUGGCUAUGCUACCGCUUUUGGAUGGGCCCGCGGCGCAUUAGCUAGUUGGUGGGGUAAAGGCUUACCAAGGCAAUGAUGCGUAGCCGAACUGAGAGGUUGAUCGGCCACAUUGGGACUGAGACACGGCCCAAACUCCUACGGGAGGCAGCAG
rnacentral:rRNA from 1 species